rnacentral:RNase_MRP_RNA from 1 species
AAGCACGGCUUCGCAGCUUACAGCCGGGGAGCUUGCUCCCGACAUUUUGCGAGGAAAGUCCCCGUGCCUUGGGGCAGAGAGUGUCGGCGGGAGGCCGCAGGGCCGGGGCGCCGUCGCCGGCGGCGCCGCGGAGCUCAUGCGAGCGGCGCGGCGGCGCCUGCGCAGCGCAGCUCGGGCGGCGGCGGCGGAGGAGGCGAAGGACAUGCCGCCGCCCU